rnacentral:rRNA from 1 species
ACUCCUACGGGAGGCAGCAGUGGGGAAUUUUGGACAAUGGGGGCAACCCUGAUCCAGCCAUGCCGCGUGAGUGAAGAAGGCCUUCGGGUUGUAAAGCUCUUUCGGCCGGGAAGAAAUCGCACAGGCUAAUACCCUGUGUGGAUGACGGUACCGGAAUAAGAAGCACCGGCUAACUACGUGCCAGCAGCCGCGGUAAUACGUAGGGUGCGAGCGUUAAUCGGAAUUACUGGGCGUAAAGCGUGCGCAGGCGGUUUCGUAAGACAGAGGUGAAAUCCCCGGGCUCAACCUGGGAACUGCCUUUGUGACUGCGAGGCUAGAGUACGGCAGAGGGGGGUGGAAUUCCACGUGUAGCAGUGAAAUGCGUAGAGAUGUGGAGGAACACCGAUGGCGAAGGCAGCCCCCUGGGCCGAUACUGACGCUCAUGCACGAAAGCGUGGGUAGCAAACAGGAUUAGAUACCCUGGUAGUCCACGCCCUAAACGAUGUCAACUAGGUGUUGGGUGGGUAAAACCAUUUAGUACCGUAGCUAACGCGUGAAGUUGACCGCCUGGGGAGUACGGCCGCAAGGUUAAAACUCAAAGGAAUUGACGGA